rnacentral:lncRNA from 1 species
GUCAUGGGUCCGGGAGACCCUCAGACCUAAAAAUGGCGAGGUCCUGCUGUCCACCUGAACGGACCACGGCGGCGUGGGCGAGACGAGGCCAGGACGCCUCACCUGAGAACACGCCACCAGGCCCCUCCUGACCUCGCUGAGAUGGAGGAAGCCAAGGAAGCCGAGACUGCAGUCCUGCAGGUCGUGGAAGGCCCCUUCGCUCUGACUUCACUCCGACCACCCACUGCUCCAGCCCCUCCUGACUCUGGAGAAAAGAGGUGACCGAGACUGAGCGUGAACGGACCAUCUGCUGAAUUUUUGGUGCCCUUUGCUGUUUUACACAUGAAGUAAGUGCCUUCAUGACAGUAAUCCGGCCACCCCUGCCUUGUGAUGAGGCUACUUCACUGUAAAACCUUGGCUCAAAGAGGUUAGAACGCUUGUUCAGGUCGCUCCGAGGGCAAGAGGGUCUCAGAUUUCCACCCGGACAGUGGCCUUAAACAUAAAGAUGAACGCUCUUGCCCAGACUGUAGCG